CAGUCGAACGAAGCACUUUGGAUUGAUUUCUUCGGAAUGAAGUUUUUGUGACUGAGUGGCGGACGGGUGAGUAACGCGUGGGUAACCUGCCUCAUACAGGGGGAUAACAGUUGGAAACGACUGCUAAUACCGCAUAAGCGCACAGGAUUGCAUGAUCCAGUGUGAAAAACUCCGGUGGUAUGAGAUGGACCCGCGUCUGAUUAGCCAGUUGGCGGGGUAACGGCCCACCAAAGCGACGAUCAGUAGCCGACCUGAGAGGGUGACCGGCCACAUUGGGACUGAGACACGGCCCAAACUCCUACGGGAGGCAGCAGUGGGGAAUAUUGCACAAUGGGGGAAACCCUGAUGCAGCGACGCCGCGUGAGCGAAGAAGUAUUUCGGUAUGUAAAGCUCUAUCAGCAGGGAAGAAGAAUGACGGUACCUGACUAAGAAGCACCGGCUAAAUACGUGCCAGCAGCCGCGGUAAUACGUAUGGUGCAAGCGUUAUCCGGAUUUACUGGGUGUAAAGGGAGCGCAGGCGGUACGGCAAGUCUGAUGUGAAAUCCCGGGGCUCAACCCCGGUACUGCAUUGGAAACUGUCGGACUAGAGUGUCGGAGGGGUAAGUG
rnacentral:rRNA from 1 species